GGUGGCCACCACGCCCAGUGGUGCCACCCAGCCUCCCUAAUGCUGCCCCAAAAAAAGGCUCCCCUUCACGAGACACUUCACGGCUCGUGGUGAAGACCACGGCGCAUGGGGUUGCCUUCACCUUGUGGGGACAUUUCAAGGUAGCAUAGCUACUGGUCAAGGAACCAAGGGCACCUUCACGGUUCGUGGUGCCCUUGACGGUUCGUAAGGUAGGGCGUGGGGCCUGGAAUCUCACUUUAAGGGAGGGUUAUUUUAGGUCAUUCCUUUUUAGAUGAGUAUUAAGUGAGGUCGUUCUUCUUUAGUUUUAUACACCUAUAUAAGUCAUUUUUAGUCAAAAUACACUCAUUCACCCCAUUAUUAUUUUCAAAACCCCAAAUCAAAUCACAAAGUUUAUCUUCUUUCAAAAAAAAAUCUCUCUCUAGAAAACUCAAGGAAGAAGAAGAGGAUCAAGCUAGUUCAACUCUCCAUUGUUCAAGCUUGCCACGCUUUAUAAUCAAGGUUCCGGUUCUGAAAGUGGUCCCUACUGUGGCUAAAGCUUGGUUUGAUCAUUCCUCCUAGCUUGUUGUAUCUAGUUAGGGCGAGUUUCGUAGCAGUUGAUUUGAUUUAGCAAAGUUUUCUCUUUUAAAGUUGUGGUGAGAUCCUGCUUUCUUAGAUCGCCAUUAGUUUUCAUCUACUAUCAUUUAAAGUCUUUAACUUCCCUUUUGAAGACUUGAGAUGUAUUUCAGAUUUUAGAAAUGUAUUAGAUGCUGUUUCUAUUUAUGCUACAAAGUUUUGAGGAUUC